UGAAAACGCCUGCUCCGACUGGCUGCCUUCGAUCUCCUCCUCUUCCU
rnacentral:lncRNA from 1 species